CUGAGUAGCGGCGAGCGAAACGGGAAGAGCCCAAACCAACAAGCUUGCUUGUUGGGGUUGUAGGACACUCUAUACGGAGUUACAAAAGAACAUGUUAGACGAAUCAUCUGGAAAGAUGAAUCAAAGAAGGUAAUAAUCCUGUAGUCGAAAACAUAUUCUCUCUUGAGUGGAUCCUGAGUACGACGGAGCACGUGAAAUUCCGUCGGAAUCUGGGAGGACCAUCUCCUAAGGCUAAAUACUCUCUAGUGACCGAUAGUGAACCAGUACCGUGAGGGAAAGGUGAAAAGUACCCCGGAAGGGGAGUGAAAGAGAACUUGAAACCGUGUGCUUACAAGUAGUCAGAGCCCGUUAAUGGGUGAUGGCGUGCCUUUUGUAGAAUGAACCGGCGAGUUACGAUCUGAUGCAAGGUUAAGCAGCAAAUGUGGAGCCGCAGCGAAAGCGAGUCUGAAUAGGGCGUUGAGUAUUUGGUCGUAGACCCGAAACCAGGUGAUCUACCCUUGGUCAGGUUGAAGUUCAGGUAACACUGAAUGGAGGACCGAACCGACUUACGUUGAAAAGUGAGCGGAUGAACUGAGGGUAGCGGAGAAAUUCCAAUCGAACUUGGAGAUAGCUGGUUCUCUCCGAAAUAGCUUUAGGGCUAGCCUCAAGUGAUGAUUAUUGGAGGUAGAGCACUGUUUGGACGAGGGGCCCCUCUCGGGUUACCGAAUUCAGACAAACUCCGAAUGCCAAUUAAUUUAACUUGGGAGUCAGAACAUGGGUGAUAAGGUCCGUGUUCGAAAGGGAAACAGCCCAGACCACCAGCUAAGGUCCCAAAAUAUAUGUUAAGUGGAAAAGGAUGUGGCGUUGCCCAGACAACUAGGAUGUUGGCUUAGAAGCAGCCAUCAUUUAAAGAGUGCGUAAUAGCUCACUAGUCGAGUGACACUGCGCCGAAAAUGUACCGGGGCUAAACAUAUUACCGAAGCUGUGGAUUGUCCUUUGGACAAUGGUAGGAGAGCGUUCUAAGGGCGUCGAAGCAUGAUCGCAAGGACAUGUGGAGCGCUUAGAAGUGAGAAUGCCGGUGUGAGUAGCGAAAGACGGGUGAGAAUCCCGUCCACCGAUUGACUAAGGUUUCCAGAGGAAGGCUCGUCCGCUCUGGGUUAGUCGGGUCCUAAGCUGAGGCCGACAGGCGUAGGCGAUGGAUAACAGGUUGAUAUUCCUGUACCACCUAGUAUCGUUUUAAUCGAUGGGGGGACGCAGUAGGAUAGGCGAAGCGUGCUGUUGGAGUGCACGUCCAAGCAGUAAGGCUGAGUGUUAGGCAAAUCCGGCACUCAUAAGGCUGAGCUGUGAUGGGGAGAGGAAAUUGUUUCCUCGAGUCGUUGAUUUCACACUGCCGAGAAAAGCCUCUAGAUAGAUAACAGGUGCCCGUACCGCAAACCGACACAGGUAGUCAAGAUGAGAAUUCUAAGGUGAGCGAGCGAACUCUCGUUAAGGAACUCGGCAAAAUGACCCCGUAACUUCGGGAGAAGGGGUGCUCUUUAGGGUUCACGCCCAGAAGAGCCGCAGUGAAUAGGCCCAAGCGACUGUUUAUCAAAAACACAGGUCUCUGCUAAACCGUAAGGUGAUGUAUAGGGGCUGACGCCUGCCCGGUGCUGGAAGGUUAAGAGGAGUGGUUAGCUUCUGCGAAGCUACGAAUCGAAGCCCCAGUAAACGGCGGCCGUAACUAUAACGGUCCUAAGGUAGCGAAAUUCCUUGUCGGGUAAGUUCCGACCCGCACGAAAGGCGUAACGAUUUGGGCACUGUCUCAACGAGAGACUCGGUGAAAUCAUAGUACCUGUGAAGAUGCAGGUUACCCGCGACAGGACGGAAAGACCCCGUGGAGCUUUACUGUAGCCUGAUAUUGAAAUUCGGCACAGCUUGUACAGGAUAGGUAGGAGCCUUUGAAACGUGAGCGCUAGCUUACGUGGAGGCGUUGGUGGGAUACUACCCUAGCUGUGUUGGCUUUCUAACCCGCACCACUUAUCGUGGUGGGAGACAGUGUCAGGCGGGCAGUUUGACUGGGGCGGUCGCCUCCUAAAAGGUAACGGAGGCGCUCAAAGGUUCCCUCAGAAUGGUUGGAAAUCAUUCAUAGAGUGUAAAGGCAUAAGGGAGCUUGACUGCGAGACCUACAAGUCGAGCAGGGUCGAAAGACGGACUUAGUGAUCCGGUGGUUCCGCAUGGAAGGGCCAUCGCUCAACGGAUAAAAGCUACCCCGGGGAUAACAGGCUUAUCUCCCCCAAGAGUUCACAUCGACGGGGAGGUUUGGCACCUCGAUGUCGGCUCAUCGCAUCCUGGGGCUGUAGUCGGUCCCAAGGGUUGGGCUGUUCGCCCAUUAAAGCGGUACGCGAGCUGGGUUCAGAACGUCGUGAGACAGUUCGGUCCCUAUCCGUCGUGGGCGUAGGAAAUUUGAGAGGAGCUGUCCUUAGUACGAGAGGACCGGGAUGGACAUACCUCUGGUGUACCAGUUGUCGUGCCAACGGCAUAGCUGGGUAGCUAUGUAUGGACGGGAUAAGUGCUGAAAGCAUCUAAGCAUGAAGCCCCCCUCAAGAUGAGAUUUCCCAACUUCGGUUAUAAGAUCCCUCGAAGAUGACGAGGUUAAUAGGUUCGAGGUGGAAGCGUGGUGACACGUGGAGCUGACGAAUACUAAUCGAUCGAAGACUUAAUCAA
rnacentral:rRNA from 1 species